rnacentral:rRNA from 1 species
AUGGGAUACCUAAAUUUCCCAUGGCAAACUGCUCAGUAACACAUGAUCAACUUACCCUAUAGAGAAGAAUAAUCUCGGGAAACUGAGGAUAAUGCUUCAUAGUUGAAUAGGCUUGGAAAAGUUUUUCAACUAAAAAGGAUAAAAAAAAUGGUUUUUAUCUGCUAUAGGAUAGGAUCGUGGACGAUUAUGGUUGUUGGUGAGGUAAUGGCUCACCAAGCCGAUAAUCGAUAGGGGCCGUGAGAGCGGGAGCCCCGAGAUGGGUACUGAGACAACGACCCAGGCCUUACGAGGCGCAGCAGGCGCGGAACCUCCGCAAUACACGAAAGUGUGACGGGGUUACCCAAAGUGUUCAAUUCUGAACUGUGGUAGGUGAGUAAUGUCCCCUACUAGAAAGGAGAGGGCAAGGCUGGUGCCAACCGCCGCGGUAAAACCACCUCUUCAAGUGGUCGGGAUAAUUAUUGGGCUUAAAGUGUCCGUAGCCGGUUUAGUAAGUUCCUGGUAAAAUCGGGUAGCUUAACUAUCCGUAUGCUAGGAAUACUGCUAUAC